UACGUAGGGUGCAAGCGUUAAUCGGAAUUACUGGGCGUAAAGCGUGCGCAGGCGGUUAUGUAAGGCAGAUGUGAAAUGCCCGGGCUUAACCUGGGAACUGCAUUUGUGACUGCAUGGCUAGAGUUUGGCAGAGGGGGGUAGAAUUCCACGUGUAGCAGUGAAAUGCGUAGAGAUGUGGAGGAACACCGAUGGCGAAGGCAGCCCCCUGGGCUGAGAUUGACGCUCAGGCACGAAAGCGUGGGGAGCAAACAGG
rnacentral:rRNA from 1 species